UGUGGUGAGGAAUGAUGAAUGUAUGAUGUUUUGAUUUAUGUUUCCUCUACUCUUAUUAGCUUUGCAUAUUUUUCUGCUGUUAGAACAUUAUUAUGUGUUUGCGUCAUUUAUAUUACCUCUUGCUAUAGCUAUAUGUUCAUGUGUAUUUAUUUAAUUUUGUUAUAAUUUAUUGCGUGCUGAUUUAUUUGGUAUUUACAAUAGUUGGAUUUUGAAAGACAUUAAUGGCGAACGCACUAUAUAAAACAAUAU
rnacentral:lncRNA from 1 species